UGGGAUGGGCUGGAUAUUCUGCCACCAGA
rnacentral:piRNA from 1 species